UACGGGGGGAGCGAGCGUUGUUCGGAAUCACUGGGCGUAAAGGGCGUGUAGGCGGCGUGGUGAGUGAGAUGUGAAAGCCCCCGGCUUACCCGGGGAAGUGCAUCUCAUACUGCCAAGCUUGAGUGCGGGAGAGGAUGGGGGAAUUCCUGGUGUAGCGGUGAAAUGCGUAGAUAUCAGGAGGAACACCGGUGGCGAAGGCGCCCAUCUGGCCCGUUACUGACGCUGAGGCGCGAAAGCUAGGGGAGCGAACGGG
rnacentral:rRNA from 1 species